rnacentral:rRNA from 1 species
AUUGAACGCUGGCGGCAGGCUUAACACAUGCAAGUCGAGCGGGGGAAGGUAGCUUGCUACCGGACCUAGCGGCGGACGGGUGAGUAAUGCUUAGGAAUCUGCCUAUUAGUGGGGGACAACAUCUCGAAAGGGAUGCUAAUACCGCAUACGUCCUACGGGAGAAAGCAGGGUAUCUUCGGACCUUGCGCUACUAGAUGAGCCUGAGUCGGAUUAGCUAGUUGGUGGGGUAAAGGCCUACCAAGGCGACGAUCUGUAGUGGGUCCGAGAGGAUGAUCCGCCACACUGGGACUGAGACACGGCCCAGACUCCUACGGGAGGCAGCAGUGGGGAAUAUUGGACAAUGGGGGGAACCCUGAUCCAGCCAUGCCGCGUGUGAAGAAGGCCUUAUGGUUGUAAAGCACUUUAAGCGAGGAGGAGGCUACUCUAGUUAAUACCUAGGGAUAGUGGACGUUACUCGCAGAAUAAGCACCGGCUAACUCUGUGCCAGCCGCCGCCGUAA